UACGAAGGGGACUAGCGUUGUUCGGAAUCACUGGGCGUAAAGCGCACGUAGGCGGAUUUGUAAGUCAGGGGUGAAAUCCCGGGGCUCAACCUCGGAACUGCCUUUGAUACUGCGAACCUCGAGUCCGAUAGAGGUGGGUGGAAUUCCUAGUGUAGAGGUGAAAUUCGUAGAUAUUAGGAAGAACACCGGUGGCGAAGGCGGCCCACUGGUCCGGUACUGACGCUGAGGUGCGAAAGCGUGGGGAGCAAACAGG
rnacentral:rRNA from 1 species